rnacentral:rRNA from 1 species
CCUACGGGUGGCUGCAGUCGAGAAUCUUCCGCAAUGGGCGCAAGCCUGACGGAGCGACGCCGCGUGCGGGAUGAAGGCCCUCGGGUUGUAAACCGCUGUCAGAGAGGCGGAAAGCGAAAGCUUGACCUAAUCUCAGAGGAAGUCCGGGCUAAGUUCGUGCCAGCAGCCGCGGUAACACGAACCGGACGAACGUUAUUCGGAAUUACUGGGCUUAAAGGGUGCGUAGGCGGCCCUGAAGGUGGGGUGUGAAAUCCCUCGGCUCAACCGAGGAACUGCGCCCCAAACCGCAGGGCUUGAGGAAGGCAGAGGUGAGCGGAACUCAGGGUGGAGCGGUGAAAUGUGUUGAUAUCCUGGGGAACACCAGUGGCGAAGGCGGCUCACUGGGCCUUUUCUGACGCUGAGGCACGAAAGCCAGGGGAGCGAACGGGAUUAGAUACCCU